AUUGGAGGGCAAGUCUGGUGCCAGCAGCCGCGGUAAUUCCAGCUCCAAUAGCGUAUAUUAAAGUUGUUGCAGUUAAAAGGCUCGUAGUUGAACUUUGGGCCCGGUUGGCCGGUCCGAUUUUUUCGUGUACUGGAUUUCCAACGGGGCCUUUCCUUCUGGCUAACCUUGAGUCCUUGUGGCUCUUGGCGAACCAGGACUUUUACUUUGAAAAAAUUAGAGUGUUUCAAAGCAGGCGUAUUGCUCGAAUAUAUUUAGCAUGGAAUAAUAGAAUAGGGACGUUUUGGUUCUAUUUUGUUGGUUUCUAGGGACCAUCGUAAAUGAUUAAUAGGGACGGUCGGGGGGCAUCAGUAUUCCAAUUGUCAGAGGUGAAAUUCUUUGGAUUUUAUUUGAAGACUAACUACUGCGAAAGCAUUUGCCAAGGACGUUUUCAUUAAUCAAGAACGAAAGUUAGGGGAUCGAAGAUGAUCAGAUACCGUCGUAGUCUUAACCAUAAACUAUGCCGACUAGGGAUCGG
rnacentral:rRNA from 1 species